GACGAACGCUGGCGGCGUGCCUAAUACAUGCAAGUAGAACGCUGAAGCUUGGUGCUUGCACCGAGCGGAUGAGUUGCGAACGGGUGAGUAACGCGUAGGUAACCUGCCUGGUAGCGGGGGAUAACUAUUGGAAACGAUAGCUAAUACCGCAUAACAGUAGAUAUCGCAUGAUAGCUACUUGAAAGGUGCAAAUGCACCACUACCAGAUGGACCUGCGUUGUAUUAGCUAGUUGGUGAGGUAACGGCUCACCAAGGCAACGAUACAUAGCCGACCUGAGAGGGGGAACGGCCCAACUGGGAAUGGAACACGGCCCAGACUCCGGCGGGAGGAAGCAGUGGGGAAUCUUCGGCAAUGGACGGAAUUUUGACCGAGCAACGCCGGGGGGGUGAAGAAGGUUUUGGGUUCUAAAAGCUUUGUUUUAAGAGAAGAACGGUGGGGGGGGGGGAAAGUUCACACUGUGACGGUAUUUUACCAGAAAGGGACGGAUAACUACGU
rnacentral:rRNA from 1 species